rnacentral:snRNA from 1 species
CUGGUUUCUCUUCAGAUCGUAUAAAUCUUUUGCCUUUUACUAAAGAUUUCCAUGGAGAGGAAUAUCUUUG